rnacentral:rRNA from 1 species
AGUGAACGCUGGCGGUAGGCCUAACACAUGCAAGUCGAACGGCAGCACAGUAAGAGCUUGCUCUUACGGGUGGCGAGUGGCGGACGGGUGAGGAAUACAUCGGAAUCUACUUUUUCGUGGGGGAUAACGUAGGGAAACUUACGCUAAUACCGCAUACGACCUACGGGUGAAAGCAGGGGAUCUUCGGACCUUGCGCGAUUGAAUGAGCCGAUGUCGGACUAGCUAGUUGGCGGGGUAAAGGCCCACCAAGGCGACGAUCCGUAGCUGGUCUGAGAGGAUGAUCAGCCACACUGGAACUGAGACACGGUCCAGACUCCUACGGGAGGCCGCAGUGGGGAAUAUUGGACAAUGGGCGCAAGCCUGAUCCAGCCAUACCGCGUGGGUGAAGAAGGCCUUCGGGUUGUAAAGCCCUUUUGUUGGGAAAGAAAAGCAGCAGGUUAAUACCCCGCUGUUCUGACGGUACCCAAAGAAUAAGCACCGGCUAACUUCGUG